rfam:Brachypodium distachyon strain Bd21 chromosome 2, whole genome shotgun sequence.
CUUAUACUCCCUCCGUCCAACAAAAAUGUCUCAACUUUCACCAAAUUUGAAUGCAUCUAUACACUAAGUCAUGUCUAGAUACAUCCAAAUUCUAACAAACUUGAGACAUCUUUUGUUGGACAGAGGGAGUAGCAC